rnacentral:rRNA from 1 species
UGUGACAUACCUAUAACGUUGCCUCGGCGGGAACAGACGGCCCCGUAACACGGGCCGCCCCCGCCAGAGGACCCCCUAACUCUGUUUCUAUAAUGUUUCUUCUGAGUAAACAAGCAAAUAAAUUAAAACUUUCAACAACGGAUCUCUUGGCUCUGGCAUCGAUGAAGAACGCAGCGAAAUGCGAUAAGUAAUGUGAAUUGCAGAAUUCAGUGAAUCAUCGAAUCUUUGAACGCACAUUGCGCCCGCCAGUAUUCUGGCGGGCAUGCCUGUUCGAGCGUCAUUACAACCCUCAGGCCCCCGGGCCUGGCGUUGGGGAUCGGCGGAAGCCCCCUGCGGGCACAACGCCGUCCCCCAAAUACAGUGGCGGUCCCGCCGCAGCUUCCAUUGCGUAGUAGCUAACACCUCGCAACUGGAGAGCGGCGCGGCCACGCCGUAAAACACCCAACUUCUGAAUGUUGACCUCGAAUCAGGUAGGAAUACCCGCUGAACUUAAGCAUAUCA